rnacentral:rRNA from 1 species
UACAGAGGGUGCAAGCGUUAAUCGGAAUUAUUGGGCGUAAAGAGCUCGUAGGCGGUUUGUCGCGUCUGCUGUGAAAACUCGGGGCUCAACUCCGAGCUUGCAGUGGGUACGGGCAGACUAGAGUGCGGUAGGGGAGACUGGAAUUCCUGGUGUAGCGGUGGAAUGCGCAGAUAUCAGGAGGAACACCGGUGGCGAAGGCGGGUCUCUGGGCCGUAACUGACGCUGAGGAGCGAAAGCAUGGGGAGCGAACAGG